UACGUAGGGUGCAAGCGUUGUCCGGAAUUAUUGGGCGUAAAGAGCUUGUAGGCGGUUUGUCGCGUCUGCUGUGAAAAUCCGGGGCUCAACUCCGGACUUGCAGUGGGUACGGGGCAGACUAGAGUGUGGUAGGGGAGACUGGAAUUCCUGGUGGUAGCGGUGGAAUGCGCAGAUAUCAGGAGGAACACCGAUGGCGAAGGCAGGUCUCUGGGCCACUACUGACGCUGAGGAGCGAAAGCGUGGGGAGCGAACAGG
rnacentral:rRNA from 1 species